rnacentral:rRNA from 1 species
UACGGGGGGAGCAAGCGUUGUUCGGAUUUACUGGGCGUAAAGGGCGCGUAGGCGGCCACCGCAAGUCGGUUGUGAAAUCUCCGGGCUUAACCCGGAAAGGUCAAUCGAUACUGCGGGGCUAGAGUGCAGAAGGGGCAACUGGAAUUCUCGGUGUAGCGGUGAAAUGCGUAGAUAUCGAGAGGAACACCUGCGGCGAAGGCGGGUUGCUGGGCUGACACUGACGCUGAAGCGCGAAAGCGUGGGGAGCGAACAGG